rnacentral:lncRNA from 1 species
GAAAAGUGCAACUGGCUGAACAAGAAAUCGCCUUAGACGUGGUGGCUGAUCCCGCUGAACAGCGGUUAGCACCGUCAAUGAGACGGCAGUUCUGACGGGUGAGGACUAGCAUCCGAGAGACUUUUGUCCCACAGAGCAGACGAUAGUGACUGACUGGGCUUGACCUGGGAAAACACAACCGGAGUGACGGGGUAGCCCCUACAGAAACCUUCCUCGCUUGGGAUAUUUAAAGUCUAUAAAGUCCUAGAAAGCUUGAUGGGCAGCCUCUGUGGCCUUAAAAAGGACUGCUUUUCCAGGGAAUGAGUAUAAUAUCUUGUGUAAUUCUGGUCUAAAAAACAGAGUUUCCACAUGUGGUUUUAGCUGAUGCCAUGAAUUCAUUUGGGCUAAUUGCUUCCUCCUCUUUCUUCGUUUAGGAGCUGGAAUUCCCCGUGCCUGGAGUAGCCAAGGAAUGACCCRAAUCAGCAUGAAAUGGACCUGGAUGUUGGAGAGGUACCUGGUCUCGGUUACUGAAGGGGAAGUCUAUCCUGCGUGAAACCAGACAGUAUUGUGAGGAUCAUUUCUUU